rnacentral:rRNA from 1 species
CCUGGCGUCAGGACUGAACGCUAGACUACAAGGCUUAAACACAUGCAAGUCGAGGGGCAGCAUAACGAAAGCUUGCUUUGUUGAUGGCGACCGGCGCACGGGUGAGUAACGCGUAUCCAACCUUCCCUAUAGUAGAGAAUAGCCCGGCGAAAGUCGGAUUAAUGCUCUAUGUUCUUCGUUUGAUGGCAUCUGAGGAGAAGCAAAGGUUCACCGCUAUAGGAUGGGGAUGCGUCUGAUUAGGUAGUCGGCGGGGUAACGGCCCACCGAGCCAACGAUCAGUAGGGGUUCUGAGAGGAAGGUCCCCCACAUUGGUACUGAGACACGGACCAAACUCCUACGGGAGGCAGCAGUGAGGAAUAUUGGUCAAUGGGCGAGAGCCUGAACCAGCCAAGUAGCGUGCAAGGAUGACUGCCCUAUGGGUUGUAAACUGCUUUUAUGCGGGAAUAAAGUCCACUACGUGUAGUGGUUUGUAUGUACCGCAUGAAUAAGGACCGGCUAAUUCCGUGCCAGCCGCCGC